rnacentral:pre_miRNA from 1 species
UGUAGUUGUGGGGAAUGUUGGCUGGCUCGAGGCUUUCUUGAGUGAUUUUAUGUAUACCUCAAAAAGCUUCGGACCAGGCUUCAUUCCCCUCAACACACUU